AGUGAACGCUGGCGGUAGGCCUAACACAUGCAAGUCGAACGGCAGCACAGUAAGAGCUUGCUCUUACGGGUGGCGAGUGGCGGACGGGUGAGGAAUACAUCGGAAUCUACUUUUUCGUGGGGGAUAACGUAGGGAAACUUACGCUAAUACCGCAUACGACCUACGGGUGAAAGCAGGGGAUCUUCGGACCUUGCGCGAUUGAAUGAGCCGAUGUCGGAUUAGCUAGUUGGCGGGGUAAAGGCCCACCAAGGCGACGAUCCGUAGCUGGUCUGAGAGGAUGAUCAGCCACACUGGAACUGAGACACGGUCCAGACUCCUAUGGGAGGCAGCAGUGGGGAAUAUUGGACAAUGGGCGCAAGCCUGAUCCAGCCAUACCGCGUGGGUGAAGAAGGCCUUCGGGUUGUAAAGCCCUUUUGUUGGGAAAGAAAUCCAGCCGGCUAAUACCUGGUUGGGAUGACGGUACCCAAAGAAUAAGCACCGGCUAACUUCGUG
rnacentral:rRNA from 1 species